rnacentral:tRNA from 1 species
GGGCUGGGGCUCAGUGGUAGAGCACUUGCCUUGUGGGCGUGAGGUCCUGGGUUGGAUCCUCAGCACCACA